GCCGAGGUCGCUUAGCCCGGUCGAGCGUCAGCCUGCAGAGUUGAUAACGGGUGUUCAAAUCCCCCCCUCGGCU
rnacentral:tRNA from 1 species